UCCAGUUGAUCCUGCUGGAGGAUAUUGCUAUCAGACUUCGAUUUAGCCAUGCAAGUCAGCUCACUCACUUGGGUGGGCGGCGUAAGGCUGAGUAACACGUAGUCAAUCUACCCUGAGGACGCGGAAAACGUCGGGAAACUGACGCUAACCCGCGUUAAGCGACCUAUGCUGGAAUGCUUGGCCGUUUAAAUCCUUGAUGAAUUGGAAUCAAUGGGCCUUAGGAUGAGACUGCGGUGGAUUAUGGUAGUUGGAGAGGUAAUGGCUCACCAAGCCGAUAAUCCAUAGGGGCCAUGGGAGUGGUGGCCCCCAGAAGGGAACUGAGACAAGGUCCCUAGCCCUACGGGGUGUAGCAGGCGCGAGACCUCUACAAUGCGCGAAAGCGUGAUAGGGGAAGUCUGAGUGGCGGCAGCAUUGCUGUCGUCUUUUACCAAGUGUAAAUAGCUUGGAGAAUAAGGGUGUGGGCAAGACUGGUGGCAGCUGCCGCGGUAACACCAGCGCCUCGAGUGAUAUCCACGAAUACUGGGCCUAAAGCGUCCGUAGCUGGACGGGUAAGUCCACUGUGAAAUGUUGAGGUUCAACCUCAUCGCUUGCAGUAGAUACUGCCUGUCUCGGGAACGGGGGAGGGUCGGAGUACAUCUAGUUAGGGGUAAAAUCCGUUGAGCCUAGAUGGACUACCAGUGGCGAAGGCGCCGAUCCAAAACGUGUCCGACAGUGAGGGACGAAAGCUAGGGGAGCGAACGGGACUAGAUACCCCGGUAGUCCUAGCCGUAAAUCAUGCAGACUGGGGUGUUGCGCAUGAGUAAUCAUGUGCAGUGCUGUAGCGUAGGUCUUAAGUCUGCCGCCUGGGGAGUACGAUCGCAAGAUUUAAACUUAAAGGAAUUGGCGGGGGAGCACCACAAGCCGUGGAUGCUACGGUUUAAUUGGAUACAACGCCGGAAAUAUCACCAGUGGAGACGGCAGAAUGACAGCCAGGCUGAAGGUCUUGCUUGACAAGCCGAGAGGUAUUGCAUGGCCAUCGUCAGCUCGUGGUGUGAACUGUCCUGUUAAGUCAGGCAACGAGCGAGACCCAUGCGUUUAGUUACUAAUUUCGCCUCUGGGCGAGAUGUACUUUAAACGGACUGCCCGUGCUAAAUGGGAGGAAGGAGUGGGCGACGGUAGGUCAGUAUGGUCCGAAACUACUUGGGCUACACGCGGCAUACAGUGGAUGGAACAAUGGGCUGCGACUUCGAGAGGAGGAGCCAAUCCCCGAAAUCCAUCCGUGGUUCGGAUUGAGGGUUGAAACCCACCCUCAUGAAGAUGGAAUGGCUAGUAAUCGCGUGUCACUAUCGCGCGGUGAAUGUGUCCCCGCUCCUUGCACACACCGCCCGUCAAGUCACCCAAAUGUUUUUUCGGUGAGGUCCUGGUUAUUGCCGGGCUCGAACCGGGAGGACGUGAGGGGGGCUAAGUCGUAACAAGGUA
rnacentral:rRNA from 1 species